CGGGGCGUGGCGCAGUUUGGCUAGCGCGCUUGCAUGGGGUGCAAGAGGUCGCAGGUUCGAGUCCUGUCGCCCCGA
rnacentral:tRNA from 1 species